rnacentral:rRNA from 1 species
GCAAGUAGAACGCUGAAGGAGGAGCUUGCUUCUCUGGAUGAGUUGCGAACGGGUGAGUAACGCGUAGGUAACCUGCCUGGUAGCGGGGGAUAACUAUUGGAAACGAUAGCUAAUACCGCAUAAGAGUAGAUGUCGCAUGACAUUUGCUUAAAAGGUGCAAUUGCAUCACUACCAGAUGGACCUGCGUUGUAUUAGCUAGUUGGUGGGGUAACGGCUCACCAAGGCGACGAUACAUAGCCGACCUGAGAGGGUGAUCGGCCACACUGGGACUGAGACACGGCCCAGACUCCUACGGGAGGCAGCAGUAGGGAAUCUUCGGCAAUGGACGGAAGUCUGACCGAGCAACGCCGCGUGAGUGAAGAAGGUUUUCGGAUCGUAAAGCUCUGUUGUAAGAGAAGAACGAGUGUGAGAGUGGAAAGUUCACACUGUGACGGUAUCUUACCAGAAAGGGACGGCUAACUACGUGCCAGCAGCCGCGGUAAUACGUAGGUCCCGAGCGUUGUCCGGAUUUAUUGGGCGUAAAGCGAGCGCAGGCGGUUAGAUAAGUCUGAAGUUAAAGGCUGUGGCUUAACCAUAGUACGCUUUGGAAACUGUUUAACUUGAGUGCAAGAGGGGAGAGUGGAAUUCCAUGUGUAGCGGUGAAAUGCGUAGAUAUAUGGAGGAACACCGGUGGCGAAAGCGGCUCUCUGGCUUGUAACUGACGCUGAGGCU